GUUGCUCCGCAACACAGGCUACGGACCUGCUUCUUUGGGAGAGAACAGAUGCCGGGGCGGGAGGGAAAAAGGGAGAGGCAGACGUCACUUCCCCCUGGCCGCUCCUGCAGCGGAUUGGGCGGCUGAGUGGCAGAAAGGCAGACGGGGACUGGGCAGGGCACUGUCGCUGACAUCACGGAUAAGGCGACUUCUAUGUAGAUGAGGCAGCGCAAGGGCUGCUUCUUCGCCACCUGCUGCUUCGGCACGAAGGAGUUUCCAUGCUGUGGAGCGGGUUCAGGACCGUUGGUAGGACUUGAGAAGCCCAGCUGUGUGUCAGGGCUAGAAGGGCUCGGGAGUGCGCGUGGCAAGUGACCGUGAGUGUAAAGGGUGAGGCGUAUGAGGCUGUGGCGGGGCAGAGGUGUAGGAACUCAUACUUACCUGGCAGGGGAGAUACCAUGAUCACGAAGGUGGUUUUCCCAGGGCGAGGCUUAUCCAUUGCACUCCGGAUGUGCUGACCCCUGCGAUUUCCCCAAAUGUGGGAAACUCGACUGCAUAAUUUGUGGUAGUGGGGGACUGCGUUCGCGCUUUCCCUGACUUUUGUGUUUAAAGAAUAGACUGUACAGUAAGGGUUAUUUCUUUCGUCUGUUGGUUUGUAGUUUCGGGUAGCUUUCCAAGUGUAGUUUUAACAGUGGAUGACUUGGGAAUAGGAAAUAACAUGUCGCUUCUCUACCAGAACUGAUAUGAGCGUCAGCGGUUGUAACACAAGCUAACUUGAGUGAGGACCGCACAGCUCUUUCCUUUCUAAGGACCAGCUUUUUGCAGAGAUUGGUCCAAAGUCUCCAGUCUCUUGGGUUCUCAUUCUCUGUGUUUUUCUAACCCCCAGUCACUUUUUACACAGCCUCUGUUUCUAACGGCAGCUCCCACACGCGUUUGUAGGAUUUCUGUGCUAUCGGGGAAUGUGUUCUCACCUCCUAGAGCCAGGUAGAAACUACGUAGACGGGGGCUGUUCUUUGGGAAGAAAGCAAGGCCUUUGGGGCUCUACUGUCCCCGUUGGGUUGUAGACAUAACACGCUUACUUUGCGUAGGGAAACGGCUCUGCCGGUGCCCAGCUGCCCUAGCCCAUAUUCAUCCAGGCCCGCAGGUCAGAACCUGUCUUGGCCGAAAUGCGCUGCGAUCCUCCCUGAAGUAUAAGGCGGGAAGUUUUAUGUGGAGCCGGGUCCAGUUUCCUACUAGCUCCUGCCGUUUACCUAUCUUGUCUUUCUUCAGACUUUAUUUAAGCGACAGCUUCUUGUUUGAGGUCUCGCUUACACAUCCUACAUCCAUUGCCAGGCAACUUUCUAGAUAGCACCCCGACCCAUCCUUCCCACCUCCAAGCAGCCCUUUCCUAUUUCUGGUGCCAGUGUCCUCCCGUGUCCCUCUUUCUUCAGGCCCUCGCUUAUCACCUUCAUGGGCAGAAACUAUUUAGCCCUCUCUCAACCUGCGGUGUACACCUGACACGGGUCAGUACCCUGGCAAAUUCCUUAAUACCCCUUCUCAAAUUGCACUGUAAAUGCAUCUCUUUUUAACUCCCAGAAGUAUCUGAGUGGUUUUGUCCCUGCACUACAUGAAUUCCACUACAGAAGAAAACCCCAGGGCUAGCGAUGGUGGUUCUGAGCAUUGUGCCGGCCUCUCCCAGGGUAUGUUUUCUGACCUCACCUACUUCUGAUCAACUGAGGUCAGGAGUUCGAGAUCAACCUGACCAACAUGGUGAAACUCCGUCUCUACUAAAAAUGCAUUAAAAAAAAAAAAAAAAA
rnacentral:lncRNA from 1 species